UACGUAGGGUGCGAGCGUUGUCCGGAAUUAUUGGGCGUAAAGAGCUCGUAGGCGGUGUGUCGCGUCGGUCGUGAAAACUUGGGGCUUAACCCUGAGCUUGCGGUCGAUACGGGCAUCACUGGAGUUCGGCAGGGGAGACUGGAAUUCCUGGUGUAGCGGUGAAAUGCGCAGAUAUCAGGAGGAACACCGGUGGCGAAGGCGGGUCUCUGGGCCGAUACUGACGCUGAGGCACGAAAGCGUGGGGAGCAAACAGG
rnacentral:rRNA from 1 species